GUAAACGUGAUACUUACUCACUGCAAUAGACUGCUGUGAACCAUAUUCCAGCAGCAACCUUUGAAAUCCAUCACUUGACUGCACACAAGUGUGGUCUAAAAGGGACUUAUAUGCUGUGUUUUUUCAAAACCUCUCAGCAGGCACCGGCUCAGCCCUGGCUGUGCUGCUGUUACCCCUUAGGGCCAGUAUCUGCCAUCCAUGCUUCAGAACAGCCUUGGACUCCUCACUGCUGUAAGUGCGGAAAGGUCUAAUUUAAUUUUAAAAUUUUAUUUCCUCAGGUUGGAGACAUGUUUCUUUCCAGAAUGCCACCUACCUCGAUUCUUUAACUUUUCUCUCUGAAUUUACAUGGCUUUCUGGUUUAGCAUUGCAUAUCCAAGACACACAAGAAAUUUGAGAUAUUCAGUCCAAGGUAAAUUAAGGGAAUGUGAUUAUCAGGACUUUGAAAGACCCAGUAGUCACCAGCUAAAAUGUACCACAAAAAGAACCCAGCUACGACAACAAGGGAAGUCCCUGAAAAAGGCUGGAAGCAAAAUGACCAUAAUUGAAAUCUGAAAGCAGCAACUUCAUAGAGAAGUAAACGAAGAGGCGGCUCUUUGUAAAUGAUGAUCUAAAAAGUGUUCUGGGUUGUAAGACCUCAUUUCAAAUGUAUUCAUUAAAUAAUAU